UACGUAGGUGACAAGCGUUGUCCGGAUUUACUGGGCGUAAAGAGCGCGCAGGCGGUCGUUCAAGUCGAGUGUGAAAGCCCCCGGCUCAACUGGGGAGGGUCAUUCGAUACUGAUCGACUCGAAGGCAGGAGAGGGAGGUGGAAUUCCCGGUGUAGUGGUGAAAUGCGUAGAUAUCGGGAGGAACACCAGUGGCGAAGGCGACUUCCUGGCCUGUUCUUGACGCUGAGGCGCGAAAGCUAGGGGAGCAAACGGG
rnacentral:rRNA from 1 species